rnacentral:rRNA from 1 species
AUAUAGGUCAAGCUACAAAGGGCGUAUGGUGAAUGCCUUGGCAUCAGGAGCCGAUGAAGGACGUGAUAAGCUGCGAUAAGCUUCGGGUAGGCGCACAUAGCCUGGGAUCCGAAGAUCUCCGAAUGAGGAAACUCACAUGGGAAACCCCAUGUAUCAUUAAGUGAAUACAUAGCUUAAUGAAGGUAACCCAGGGAACUGAAACAUCUAAGUACCUGGAGGAAGAGAAAGAAAAAUCGAUUUUCUUAGUAGCGGCGAGCGAAAGGGAAAGAGCCCAAACCGGAAACUUGUUUCCGGGGUUGUGGACAUAGCAUAAAAGUGGAGGCUAUUGUAAUUGAAGAGAACUGGAAAGUUCCACCGUAGAAGGUAAUAGUCCUGUAAGUGAAACGAGAAGACCACGAGUUAUGAUCCAGAGUACCACGAGACACGUGAAACCUUGUGGGAAGCAGGGAGGACCACCUCCCAAGGCUAAAUACUACCUGAUGACCGAUAGUGAAGCAGUACCGUGAGGGAAAGGUGAAAAGAACCCCGGGAGGGGAGUGAAAUAGAACCUGAAACCGUGUGCCUACAACCGCUCAGAGCCCCUUAUGAGGGUGAUGAGGUGCUUUUU